rnacentral:rRNA from 1 species
UACGGAGGGGGCUAGCGUUGUUCGGAAUUACUGGGCGUAAAGCGCGCGUAGGCGGACCUGCAAGUCGGGGGUGAAAGCCCGAGGCUCAACCUCGGAACUGCCUUCGAUACUGCGGGUCUCGAGUCCGGGAGAGGUGAGUGGAAUUCCUAGUGUAGAGGUGAAAUUCGUAGAUAUUAGGAAGAACACCAGUGGCGGAAGGCGGCUCACUGGCCCGGUACUGACGCUGAGGCGA